rnacentral:rRNA from 1 species
UACGUAGGGGGGCUAGCGUUGUCCGGAUUUAUUGGGCGUAAAGAGCGUGUAGGCGGCCAAGUAGGUCCGGUGUGAAAACUCGAGGCUUAACCUCGAGAUGUCAUCGGAAACCAUUUGGCUAGAGUCCGGAAGAGGAAAGUGGAAUUCCUGGUGUAGCGGUGAAAUGCGCAGAUAUCAGGAAGAACACCAAUAGCGAAAGCAGCUUUCUGG